rnacentral:rRNA from 1 species
AGGAAUAUUGGUCAAUGGACGAGAGUCUGAACCAGCCAAGUAGCGUGAAGGAUGACUGCCCUAUGGGUUGUAAACUUCUUUUAUACGGGAAUAAAGUGAGGCACGUGUGCCUUUUUGUAUGUACCGUAUGAAUAAGGAUCGGCUAACUCCGUGCCAGCAGCCGCGGUAAUACGGAGGAUCCGAGCGUUAUCCGGAUUUAUUGGGUUUAAAGGGAGCGUAGGCGGACGCUUAAGUCAGUUGUGAAAGUUUGCGGCUCAACCGUAAAAUUGCAGUUGAUACUGGGUGUCUUGAGUACAGUAGAGGCAGGCGGAAUUCGUGGUGUAGCGGUGAAAUGCUUAGAUAUCACGAAGAACUCCGAUUGCGAAGGCAGCUUGCUGGACUGUAACUGACGCUGAUGCUCGAAAGUGUGGGUAUCAAACAGGAUUAGAUACCCUGGUAGUCCACACGGUAAACGAUGAAUACUCGCUGUUUGCGAUAUACGGCAAGCGGCCAAGCGAAAGCGUUAAGUAUUCCACCUGGGGAGUACGCCGGCAACGGUGAAACUCAAAGGAAUUGACGGGGGCCCGCACAAGCGGAGGAACAUGUGGUUUAAUUCGAUGAUACGCGAGGAACCUUACCCGGGCUUAAAUUGCAGAUGAAUUACGGUGAAAGCCGUAAGCCGCAAGGCAUCUGUGAAGGUGCUGCAUGGUUGUCGUCAGCUCGUGCCGUGAGGUGUCGGCUUAAGUGCCAUAACGAGCGCAACCCUUGUUGUCAGUUACUAACAGGUUUUGCUGAGGACUCUGACAAGACUGCCAUCGUAAGAUGUGAGGAAGGUGGGGAUGACGUCAAAUCAGCACGGCCCUUACGUCCGGGGCUACACACGUGUUACAAUGGGGGGUACAGAGGGCCGCUACCACGCGAGUGGAUGCCAAUCCCCAAAACCUCUCUCAGUUCGGACUGGAGUCUGCAACCCGACUCCACGAAGCUGGAUUCGCUAGUAAUCGCGCAUCAGCCACGGCGCGGUGAAUACGUUCCCG